rnacentral:rRNA from 1 species
AUUGAACGCUGGCGGCAUGCUUUACACAUGCAAGUCGAACGGUAACAGGUUAAGCUGACGAGUGGCGAACGGGUGAGUAAUGCAUCGGAACGUGCCCGAUCGUGGGGGAUAACGCAGCGAAAGCUGCGCUAAUACCGCAUACGAUCUGAGGAUGAAAGCGGGGGACCGUAAGGCCUCGCGCGAUCGGAGCGGCCGAUGUCAGAUUAGGUAGUUGGUGGGGUAAAGGCUCACCAAGCCAACGAUCUGUAGCUGGUCUGAGAGGACGACCAGCCACACUGGGACUGAGACACGGCCCAGACUCCUACGGGAGGCAGCAGUGGGGAAUUUUGGACAAUGGGCGAAAGCCUGAUCCAGCAAUGCCGCGUGCAGGAAGAAGGCCUUCGGGUUGUAAACUGCUUUUGUACGGAGCGAAAAGGCCCUCUCUAAUACAGGGGGUUUAUGACGGUACCGUAAGAAUAAGCACCGGCUAACUACGUGCCAGCCGCCGCCGUAAAAC